AAGCAAAAUAGUGAUAUGGAGCAAAACCCUAAAAACGGUACUCAGUUCGGAUUGAAGGCUGAAAUUCGCCUUCAUGAAGCUGGAAUUGCUAGUAAUGGCAGGUCAGCAUACUGCCGUGAAUACGUUCCCGGGCCUUGUACACACCGCCCGUCACACCAUGAGAGUUGGGAAUACCCGAAGCCUGUGAGCUAACUGUAAGGAGGCAGCAGUCGAAGGUAGAAUCAAUGAUUGGGUGAAGUCGUAACAAGGUACC
rnacentral:rRNA from 1 species